rnacentral:lncRNA from 1 species
UAUACUCACAAAUCCAGGAGUAAUGACUUCAACAACACACUAGCAACACUCUACCAUAAGAUCCCAACCACCAAAGUAAGCAACAAAGAAAUAAUGCAAGAACAACUUACUUGGUAAGAGAGUGUGGGCCCAUAACCUAUUGAAACAUAGAAAGCAAACUCCACACAAGCAAGUUAGGACCAGCAAGGUUGCACUUCACAAAUAGAAUGUGGUAUGAGAUAACUCUUCCCAUGCCAACACUUUCCUUAUAUACUAGUACCAAGGUACCAAGUACUACAACCCAUAUGGGAUAUCUUCUAGGACCAGCCCUCCC